UACGGGGGGGGCAAGCGUUGUUCGGAAUUACUGGGCGUAAAGGGCUCGUAGGUGGCCAACUAAGUCGGACGUGAAAUCCCUCAGCUUAACUGGGGAACUGCGUCCGAUACUGGAUGGCUUGAGUUUGGGAGAGGGAUGCGGAAUUCCAGGUGUAGCGGUGAAAUGCGUAGAUAUCUGGAGGAACACCGGUGGCGAAGGCGGCAUCCUGGACCCACACUGACACUGAGGAGCGAAAGCCAGGGGAGCAAACGGG
rnacentral:rRNA from 1 species